AAACAGAAGAGGUCGUACCGACAUCAGACGAGUCCCGUGAGUCGUAAAACAGAAGAGGUCGUACCGACAUCAGACGAGUCCCGUGAGUCGUAAAACAGAAGAGGUCGUACCGACAUCAGACGAGUCCCGUGAGUCGUAAAACAGAAGAGGUCGUACCGACAUCAGACGACUCCCGUGAGUCGUAAAACAGAAGAGGUCGUACCGACAUCAGACGAGUCCCGUGAGUCGUAAAACAGAAGAGGUCGUACCGACAUCAGACGGGUCCCGUGAGUCGUAAAACAGAAGAGGUCGUACCGACAUCAGACGAGUCCCGUGAGUCGUAAAACAGAAGAGGUCGUACCGACAUCAGACGAGUCCCGUGAGUCGUAAAACAGAAGAGGUCGUACCGACAUCAGACGAGUCCCGUGAGUCGUAAAACAGAAGAGGUCGUACCGACAUCAGACGAGUCCCGUGAGUCGUAAAACAGAAGAGGUCGUACCGACAUCAGACGAGUCCCGUGAGUCGUAAAACAGAAGAGGUCGUACCGACAUCAGACGAGUCCCGUGAGUCGUAAAACAGAAGAGGUCGUACCGACAUCAGACGAGUCCCGUGAGUCGUAAAACAGAAGAGGUCGUACCGACAUCAGACGAGUCCCGUGAGUCGUAAAACAGAAGAGGUCGUAUCGACAUCAGACGAGUCCCGUGAGUCGUUAAACAGAAGAGGUCGUACCGACAUCAGACGGGUCCCGUGAGUCGUUAAACAGAAGAGGUCGUACCGACAUCAGACGGGUCCCGUGAGUCGUUAAACAGAAGAGGUCGUACCGACAUCAGACGAGUCCCGUGAGUCGUUAAACAGAAGAGGUCGUACCGACAUCAGACGAGUCCCGUGAGUCGUUAAACAGAAGAGGUCGUACCGACAUCA